GUGAGGGAAAGGUGAAAAGUACCCCGGGAGGGGAGUGAAAUAGUACCUGAAACCGGGCGCUUACAAGCCGUCAGAGCCUUCCGCACCUUGUGUGUGGGGGUGGUGGCGUGCCUUUUGAAGAAUGAGCCUGCGAGUCAGCGGCAUGUCGCGAGGUUAACCCGUUAUGUGGGGUAGUCGUAGCGAAAGCGAAUCCUAAUUGGGUGUUGUAAGUGGCAUGUCCUGGACCCGAAGCGGGGUGAUCU
rnacentral:rRNA from 1 species